GGAGGCUCCUGGGCCCGGGCUGCCCCAGGCAGGCUGGCCUUUAAGGGCGGACCCCUGUCGCCCAAAGGGAGUCGUUCUCCCCUCGCCUCUUUUCUUACCUAAACCCAUCCCUACACACACACACACACACACACACACACACACACACACACUCACACAGCUUGGCGUGUUGUUUAAAACAGGUGGAAGACCUCUGUAAUGAUAUUAUGCCUUUCAAUAAAAAUUUUAUGAGGUGUAUUUGAUUAUAGAUUAAUGUGUCCCUAAUAAAACGGACGGAUGGAGCAGCUCGGAGUGCCCCUCCCUCUACCGCGCUCACACUCCCGGGGCAGCCACAUGUCCUUGAUCCACCCCCUUUCCAGUUUUCCCCUUGAGAGGUAAGGCCGGGCAGCCUUGAAUCUGAGAGAAAUGC
ensembl:antisense Gm28793 predicted gene 28793